rnacentral:rRNA from 1 species
CAUAUUGUGAGCUCGAUGAGUAGGGCGGGACACGUGGUAUCCUGUCUGAAUAUGGGGGGACCAUCCUCCAAGGCUAAAUACUCCUGACUGACCGAUAGUGAACCAGUACCGUGAGGGAAAGGCGAAAAGAACCCCGGCGAGGGGAGUGAAAAAGAACCUGAAACCGUGUACGUACAAGCAGUGGGAGCACGCUUAGGCGUGUGACUGCGUACCUUUUGUAUAAUGGGUCAGCGACUUAUAUUCUGUAGCAAGGUUAACCGAAUAGGGGAGCCGAAGGGAAACCGAGUCUUAACUGGGCGUUAAGUUGCAGGGUAUAGACCCGAAACCCGGUGAUCUAGCCAUGGGCAGGUUGAAGGUUGGGUAACACUAACUGGAGGACCGAACCGACUAAUGUUGAAAAAUUAGCGGAUGACUUGUGGCUGGGGGUGAAAGGCCAAUCAAACCGGGAGAUAGCUGGUUCUCCCCGAAAGCUAUUUAGGUAGCGCCUCGUGAAUUCAUCUCCGGGGGUAGAGCACUGUUUCGGCAAGGGGGUCAUCCCGACUUACCAACCCGAUGCAAACUGCGAAUACCGGAGAAUGUUAUCACGGGAGACACACGGCGGGUGCUAACGUCCGUCGUGAAGAGGGAAACAACCCAGACCGCCAGCUAAGGUCCCAAAGUCAUGGUUAAGUGGGAAACGAUGUGGGAAGGCCCAGACAGCCAGGAUGUUGGCUUAGAAGCAGCCAUCAUUUAAAGAAAGCGUAAUAGCUCACUGGUCGAGUCGGCCUGCGCGGAAGAUGUAACGGGGCUAAACCAUGCACCGAAGCUGCGGCAGCGACGCUGAUGCGUUGUUGGGUAGGGGAGCGUUCUGUAAGCCUGUGAAGGUGUGCUGUGAGGUAUGCUGGAGGUAUCAGAAGUGCGAAUGCUGACAUAAGUAACGAUAAAGCGGGUGAAAAGCCCGCUCGCCGGAAGACCAAGGGUUCCUGUCCAACGUUAAUCGGGGCAGGGUGAGUCGACCCCUAAGGCGAGGCCGAAAGGCGUAGUCGAUGGGAAACAGGUUAAUAUUCCUGUACUUGGUGUUACUGCGAAGGGGGGACGGAGAAGGCUAUGUUGGCCGGGCGACGGUUGUCCCGGUUUAAGCGUGUAGGCUGGUUUUCCAGGCAAAUCCGGAAAACUAAGGCUGAGGCGUGAUGACGAGGCACUACGGUGCUGAAGCAACAAAUGCCCUGCUUCCAGGAAAAGCCUCUAAGCAUCAGGUAACAUCAAAUCGUACCCCAAACCGACACAGGUGGUCAGGUAGAGAAUACCAAGGCGCUUGAGAGAACUCGGGUGAAGGAACUAGGCAAAAUGGUGCCGUAACUUCGGGAGAAGGCACGCUGAUAUGUAGGUGAAGUCCCUCGCGGAUGGAGCUGAAAUCAGUCGAAGAUACCAGCUGGCUGCAACUGUUUAUUAAAAACACAGCACUGUGCAAACACGA